CCUACGGGUGGCAGCAGUGAGGAAUAUUGGUCAAUGGACGAGAGUCUGAACCAGCCAAGUAGCGUGAAGGAUGACUGCCCUAGGGGUUGUAAACUUCUUUUAUAUGGGAAUAAAAUGUUCCACGUGUGGGAUUUUGUAUGUACCAUCUGAAUAAGGAUCGGCUAACUCCGUGCCAGCAGCCGCGGUAAUACGGAGGAUCCGAGCGUUAUCCGGAUUUAUUGGGUUUAAAGGGAGCGUAGGUGGGUGGUUAAGUCGGUUGGGAAUGGUUGCGGUUCAAGCGUAAAAUUGCAGUUGAAACUGGCAGUCUUGAGUACAGUAGCGGUGGGCGGAAUGCGUGGUGUAGCGGUGAAAUGCUUAGAUAUCACGAAGAACACCGAUUGCGAAGGCAGCUCACUGGACUGCAACUGACACUGAGGCUCGAAAGUGUGGGUAUCAAACAGGAUUAGAUACCCCAGUAGUC
rnacentral:rRNA from 1 species